GUGAGAUGUCCGGCUUGCUCGACUGAAGCCCGGACGUCCCAGGAUGCGAGUGCCAGUGGGCCACUUUUGGUAAGCAGAACUGGCGCUGUGGGAUGAACCAAACGCUGGGUUAAGGCGCCCGAUGCCAGACGCUCAUCAGAUCCCAUGAAAGGUGUUGGUUGCUAUAGACAGCAGGACGGUGGCCAUGGAAGUCGGAAUCCGCUAAGGAGUGUGUAACAACUCACCUGCCGAAGCAACUAGCCCUGAAAAUGGAUGGCGCUGUAGCGUCGAGCCCAUACCCGGCCGCCCCGGCUGGGCACGGAAGCUUAGGCCGGGGUGAGUAGGAGGUGUCGCAGCGGCGUGCGUUGAAGGUGCCGGGCGUGGGCCCGCCUGGAGCCGCCGCUGGUGCAGAUCUUGGUGGUAGUAGCAAAUACUCAAGUGAGAACCUUGAGGACUGAGGUGGAGAAGGGUUCCAUGUGAACAGCAGUUGAACAUGGGUCAGUCGGUCCUAAGGGAUAGGAGAAAUCCGUUCCGAAGCGGGACCUGCGUGCACCGUGAGGUCCCGUGGUCGACCGAAAGGGAAUCGGGUUAAUAUUCCCGAACUCGGACGCGGAGAUCGGCCCCUCGGGGUCAACUGCGGUAACGCAACCAAACUCGGAGACGUCGAUCGGGGUCCCGGGAAGAGUUGUCUUUUCUUUGUAAGGGAUCGGCUCCCUGGAAUCGGCUCGCCCGGAGAUAGGGAUGCUGUUCCCGUAAAGCACCGCGCCUCUUGCGGUGUCCGGAGCGCUCCGGUCGGCCCUUGAAAAUCCGAGGGAGAGUGUGAUUUCGUGCCGGACCGUACCCAUAUCCGCAGCAGGUCUCCAAGGUGAACAGCCUCUAGUCGAUG
rnacentral:rRNA from 1 species